AGUGAACGCUGGCGGUAGGCCUAACACAUGCAAGUCGAACGGCAGCACAGUAAGAGCUUGCUCUUACGGGUGGCGAGUGGCGGACGGGUGAGGAAUACAUCGGAAUCUACUUUUUCGUGGGGGAUAACGUAGGGAAACUUACGCUAAUACCGCAUACGACCUACGGGUGAAAGCAGGGGAUCUUCGGACCUUGCGCGAUUGAAUGAGCCGAUGUCGGAUUAGCUAGUUGGCGGGGUAAAGGCCCACCAAGGCGACGAUCCGUAGCUGGUCUGAGAGGAUGAUCAGCCACACUGGAAUUGAGACACGGUCCAGACUCCUACGGGAGGCAGCAGUGGGGAAUAUUGGACAAUGGGCGCAAGCCUGAUCCAGCCAUACCGCGUGGGUGAAGAAGGCCUUCGGGUUGUAAAGCCCUUUUGUUGGGAAAGAAAAGCAGCAGGUUAAUACCCCGCUGUUCUGACGGUACCCAAAGAAUAAGCACCGGCUAACUUCGU
rnacentral:rRNA from 1 species